rnacentral:rRNA from 1 species
GCCCUUAGAGUUUGAUCCUGGCUCAGGACGAACGCUGGCGGCGUGCCUAAUACAUGCAAGUCGAGCGAGCGGAACUAACAGAUUUACUUCGGUAAUGACGUUAGGAAAGCGAGCGGCGGAUGGGUGAGUAACACGUGGGGAACCUGCCCCAUAGUCUGGGAUACCACUUGGAAACAGGUGCUAAUACCGGAUAAGAAAGCAGAUCGCAUGAUCAGCUUUUAAAAGGCGGCGUAAGCUGUCGCUAUGGGAUGGCCCCGCGGUGCAUUAGCUAGUUGGUAAGGUAAAGGCUUACCAAGGCGAUGAUGCAUAGCCGAGUUGAGAGACUGAUCGGCCACAUUGGGACUGAGACACGGCCCAAACUCCUACGGGAGGCAGCAGUAGGGAAUCUUCCACAAUGGACGCAAGUCUGAUGGAGCAACGCCGCGUGAGUGAAGAAGGUUUUCGGAUCGUAAAGCUCUGUUGUUGGUGAAGAAGGAUAGAGGUAGUAACUGGCCUUUAUUUGACGGUAAUCAACCAGAAAGUCACGGCUAACUACGUGCCAGCAGCCGCGGUAAUACGUAGGUGGCAAGCGUUGUCCGGAUUUAUUGGGCGUAAAGCGAGCGCAGGCGGAAGAAUAAGUCUGAUGUGAAAGCCCUCGGCUUAACCGAGGAACUGCAUCGGAAACUGUUUUUCUUGAGUGCAGAAGAGGAGAGUGGAACUCCAUGUGUAGCGGUGGAAUGCGUAGAUAUAUGGAAGAACACCAGUGGCGAAGGCGGCUCUCUGGUCUGCAACUGACGCUGAGGCUCGAAAGCAUGGGUAGUGAACAGGAUUAGAUACCCUGGUAGUCCAUGCCGUAAACGAUGAGUGCUAAGUGUUGGGAGGUUUCCGCCUCUCAGUGCUGCAGCUAACGCAUUAAGCACUCCGCCUGGGGAGUACGACCGCAAGGUUGAAACUCAAAGGAAUUGACGGGGGCCCGCACAAGCGGUGGAGCAUGUGGUUUAAUUCGAAGCAACGCGAAGAACCCUACCAGGUCUUGACAUCUAGUGCCAUUUGUAGAGAUACAAAGUUCCCUUCGGGGACGCUAAGACAGGUGGUGCAUGGCUGUCGUCAGCUCGUGUCGUGAGAUGUUGGGUUAGGUCCCGCAACGAGCGCAACCCUUGUUAUUAGUUGCCAGCAUUAAGUUGGGCACUCUAAUGAGACUGCCGGUGACAAACCGGAGGAAGGUGGGGAUGACGUCAAGUCAUCAUGCCCCUUAUGACCUGGGCUACACACGUGCUACAAUGGGCAGUACAACGAGAAGCGAGCCUGCGAAGGCAAGCGAAUCUCUGAAAGCUGUUCUCAGUUCGGACUGCAGUCUGCAACUCGACUGCACGAAGCUGGAAUCGCUAGUAAUCGCGGAUCAGCACGCCGCGGUGAAUACGUUCCCGGGCCUUGUACACACCGCCCGUCACACCAUGGGAGUCUGCAAUGCCCAAAGCCGGUGGCCUAACCUUCGGGAAGGAGCCGUCUAAGGCAGGGCAGAUGACUGGGGUGAAGUCGUAACAAGGUAGCCGUAAAGGGC